rnacentral:rRNA from 1 species
CCUACGGGAGACAGCAGUAGGGAAUCUUCCACAAUGGGCGAAAGCCUGAUGGAGCAACGCCGCGUGAGUGAAGAAGGUCUUCGGAUCGUAAAACCCUGUUGUUAGAGAAGAAAGUGCGUGUGAGUACUUGUUCACGUUUAGACGGUAUCUAACCAGAAAGCCACGGCUAACUACGUGCCAGCAGCCGCGGUAAUACGUAGGUGGCAAGCGUUAUCCGGAAUUAUUGGGCGUAAAGGGCACGCAGGCGGUUUUUUAAGUCUGAUGUGAAAGCCUACGGCUUAACCGUAGUAGGGCAUUGGAAACUGGUAGACUUGAGUGCAGGAGAGAAGAGUGGAACUCCAAGUGUAGCGGUGAAAUGCGUAGAGAUUAGGAGGAACACCAGUGGCGAAGGCGGCUCUCUGGCCUGUAACUGACGCUGAGGGGCGAAAGCGUGGGGAGCAAACAGGAUUAGAUACCCUAGUAGUC